rnacentral:rRNA from 1 species
CUACGGGGUGCUGCAGUGGGGAAUAUUGCACAAUGGAGGAAACUCUGAUGCAGCAACGCCGCGUGGAGGAUGACACUUUUCGGAGCGUAAACUCCUUUUAUAUAGGAAGAAGAUGACGGUACUAUAUGAAUAAGCGCCGGCUAACUCCGCGCCAGCAGCCGCGGUAAUACGGAGGGCGCAAGCGUUAAUCGGAAUCACUGGGCGUAAAGAGCGUGUAGGCGGAUUAAAAAGUCAGAAGUGAAAUCCUAUAGCUUAACUAUAGAACUGCUUCUGAAACUCUUAAUCUAGAAUAUGGGAGAGGUAGAUGGAAUUUCUGGUGUAGGGGUAAAAUCCGUAGAGAUCAGAAGGAAUACCGAUUGCGAAGGCGAUCUACUAGAACAUUAUUGACGCUGAGACGCGAAAGCGUGGGGAGCAAACAGGAUUAGAUACCCUAGUAGUC